UCUUAACAUAUCCAAGACCGUCCUUUUAGGCCUGUACAAGGCAGCUCUCAACCUCCCUAUUACUACCUCCACCGCUAAGCUCUUUGCCACAGGCCUCUUCCGUCCUCUCCGUUCUCUUCUCUCU
rnacentral:lncRNA from 1 species